GCCUGGCUGGCUCAGGCUGAAGAGCGUGUGACUCUUGAUCGCGGGGUUGUGAGUUCAAGCCCCACGUUGGGUG
rnacentral:tRNA from 1 species